AGCAUGGGAUGAGCUGUGGAUAGCGGAGAAAUUCCAAUCGAACUCGGAGAUAGCUGGUUCUCCUCGAAAUAGCUUUAGGGCUAGCGUCGGAUAUGAGUAGUGGAGGUAGAGCACUGAAUGGGCUAGGGGGCAUAGCGCUUACCGAACCUUAUCAAACUCCGAAUGCCACAUACUAUUAGUCCGGCAGUCAGACUGCGAAAGAUAAGUUCCGUAGUCAAAAGGGAAACAGCCCAGAUCGUCAGCUAAGGUCCCAAAGUGUAAGUUAAGUGGAAAAGGAUGUGGGAUUUCUAAGACAACUAGGAUGUUGGCUUAGAAGCAGCCACUCAUUAAAAGAGUGCGUAAUAGCUCACUAGUCGAGAGAUCCUGCGCCGAAGAUGUCCGGGGCUCAAACUUACCACCGAAGCUACGGGUUCACACUUAUGUGUGAGCGGUAGAGGAGCGUCGUAAUCGGGCUGAAGUCGUACCGUAAGGAGCGGUGGACUGAUUACGAGUGAGAAUGUUGGCAUUAGUAGCGAGAUGUGGGUGAGAAUCCCACAGGCCGAAUAUCUAAGGUUUCCUCAGGAAGGUUCGUCCGCUGAGGGUUAGUCGGGACCUAAGCCGAGGCCGAAAGGCGUAGGCGAUGGACAAUCGGUUGAUAUUCCGAUACCACUACUGAUCGUUAUUAUCGAUGGUGUGACGGAGAAGGAUAGAGUGUGCUAGCUAUUGGAUGCUAGUCUAAGCGUUUAGGGAGUUAGGAAAGGCAAAUCCGUCCUAACAAUUCUGAGGCGUGAUGGGGAAGGUUCUACGGAACCGAAGUACUUGAUUCCAUGCUUCCAAGAAAAGCAUCUAGAGAGAGAUGUAGUGCCCGUACCGCAAACCGACACAGGUAGAUGAGGAGAGAAUCCUAAGGCCGGCGGAAGAAUCACAGUUAAGGAACUAGGCAAAUUGACCCCGUAACUUAGGGAGAAGGGGUGCCUGUGAGAGCAGGCCGCAGAGAAUAGGCCCAAGCAACUGUUUAGCAAAAACACAGGUCUCUGCUAAAGCGAAAGCUGAUGUAUAGGGGCUGACGCCUGCCCGGUGCUGGAAGGUUAAGGGGAACACUUAGCGCAAGCGAAGGUGUGAACUUAAGCCCCAGUAAACGGCGG
rnacentral:rRNA from 1 species